ensembl:lncRNA
AUAUAUAUAUAUAUAUAUAUAUACAUGAAAAGGUUAUUGAUUUAUGUCUUAUUGAUACAGUAUCUUUACUGCAUCCUUAAAUAACAUGCAAAUUUAUUUAUGUAUUUAAUAACAACAAUGAUCUGUAAUUAAAUAUGUUGCACGUAAUAUAAAAGUUCAUAUCCAUAGUAAUAAUUUUGAUUUUCUUUGUAUUUUUAAGAUAAAUCCUUAUUCACUACAUCAAACAUAAUGCAGUCCAGUACAAUGCUGCACUGCUUUUGAAGAUGUAAAUUGGGUUAUUUGAUGAAAUUGCACUUUCUUGUGUCUUGUUCUUCUGAGUUUGUAUUCUUAUGGUUGAAAUGCACUUAGUUGCCUUGGAUGAAAAGCGUCAGCUAAAUUACAUGUAAUGUAAUGUAAUAAUGAAAUGUUGCGCAUCUGGCCUCAACCAAUCAGUGAUGUAACAGUGAUUUAAUGAAAGUUUCCGUAAAUGUAUGGUUUUUGAACUUUAAUUAAGAUGUUUUACAUUGAUUCUCCAUGUUUUGUUUGUGAACAAAUGCUGCCAGUCAUUUGAUCGUUCAAUGUUGUUUUUUGUAAUGUGCACCCUCUCCUCACCUUUCCAGCAUUCAUAACUUUGUUUUUUUAUUCACUGUACUCAAAAACCAUGGGAAGCUAAAAGUCAUGGGUGAAGCAGGCCCAGCUAACCCACCCACAGUAAGGUUCUCUUCUACACACAGCCCUAUAUGUUUGGAUGCAUUGACGUCAUGGCUGACGAAUUGUAGCCUGGAGUAGCCGGUGCUAUCAAAGGCCCCUAUGUUGAGCUGAACAGAGGUAUUAUUAGACAGCAGUGGGAGAGAUACACAGAGACAGUGGGAGGAGAGAGGAAGGAAGGAGGUUUUCUCGGAGAGAUUUUGAGUAUUCUGUCACUGGUCCCAGCAGUGGAGGGAAAGUGAUAUUUAUUUUAUUUAUAUAUUUUGUUUUUACAAACCAAGUUAGUUUAUUAGUUUUAGCUCACUUUUGUUUUUUCAUCCGGUGACAUUGACCUUUCUAAGCCCCUCCUUUCAUAUUUUCGGCUUUCUUAUUCGUGUAAUAAGAGCAAUUAACGAAAAUGAACAGUGAAGAGAAACUAUGCUGUAGUGCCAGAGAGAAUUGCAGUAUUUCAGAAGAAAUGGGUUGGAUCCGUCCACGAUGGGACAUGUCAGAGUGCCCGGCUAGCUCAGUCGGUAGAGCAUCACAUUCUUAAUCUCAGGGUCGUGGGUUCGAGCCCCACGUUGGGCGUCAUCACUCUAUUUGGAAAGGACGAAUGGGAUGUUGGACUGCUGAAGGAAAACAUCAAAAUCCAUUCACUAUAUGCCUUCACAUAAUCCUUGUUUUUGCAAAGUAUGUGCAGGCCCACUUUUAAAUUCGGAGGGUUUCAUGGAUAUUUUGAGAAGUUUUUGUGACGCUAUUUGCUAACCAGUUUAAUCCAAUAACUUCACGCCACAUGAAAACGGGUCACGACUCUUAAAAACUUCUUAUGUUAGCAUAAAAGUAGGUACCUACAUAUGGAAGACGAAACUAAUGAAGUUCACCAAGAAUCUGGUACGCCACAACAUUUCCUUCCAGUGUAAAUACCAAGUUAUUAGUUGUAGCUACCUUUCGUUUUUUCAUUCGGGUGACAUUGACCUUUUUAAGCCCCUCCUUUCAUAUUUUCGGCUUUCUUAUUCAUGUAAUAAGAGCAAAUAACGGAAAUGAACAGUGAAAGAAACUAUACUGUAGUGCCAGAGAGAAUUGCAGUAUUUCAGAAGAAAUGGGUUGGCAUCGGCUUUCGUAUUCAUGUAAUAAGAGCAAAUAACGAAAAUGAACAGUCAAGAGAAACUAUGCUGUAGUGCCAGAGAGAAUUGCAGUAUUUCAGAAGAAAUGGGUUGGGUCCGUCCACAAUGGGACAU